CAAUCCUAAGUAAAGUGGCGCACGGGUGAGUAACACGUGGAUUAUCUACCUUUUAGUGGGGAAUACCUCUGGGAAACCGGAGACAAUACCGCAUAAGCCUGUAAAGGGAAAGCAGCAAUGCGCUGAAAGAGGAGUCCGCGGCCGAUUAGCUAGUUGGCGGGGUAACGGCCCACCAAGGCGAAGAUCGGUAGCCGGCCUGAGAGGGCACACGGCCACACUGGCACUGAAACACGGGCCAG
rnacentral:rRNA from 1 species